GGGAAUUGGUCCGACGAGGGCAACAUAUAUUCGUGAACUCCAACAAGCAUCAACUGAGCCAUUUAAAAGUUUUGAUGAUCUUUCCAAGAUUGGGCUCUCUGAACCGGAGAUAACGCGCAUUAAGCAAAAGUUGGGGGCAAAGUACGGUGAACAAUGUUUGUGAUAUGUUACGUAACUUCGUGGAUUUUAGGCUAGAGUUCCACUGAAUCAUCUGAUCAAUCAAUUAUUAUGUGAU